AGUCGUACGAGAAAGUCCCCGCAAGGGAUGAGUAAAGUGGCGCACGGGUGAGUAACACGUGGGUAACCUGCCCUUGAAUUGGGGAUAACUCCGCGAAAGCGGGGCUAAUACCGAAUAAUAUGUCCGCUCCCCCGGGAGUGGAUAUCAAAGAUGGCCUCUACAUGUAAGCUAUUGUUCAAGGAUGGGCCCGCGUACCAUUAGCUUGUUGGUAGGGUAACGGCCUACCAAGGCUGCGAUGGUUAGCUGGUCUGAGAGGAUGGCCAGCCACACUGGAACUGAGACACGGUCCAGACUCCUACGGGAGGCAGCAGUGGGGAAUCUUGCGCAAUGGGGGAAACCCUGACGCAGCAACGCCGCGUGGGUGAUGAAGGCCUUCGGGUCGUAAAGCCCUGUCAAGUGGAAAGAAACGUGACAAUGCCAAUAUCAUUGUCAUUUGACGGUACCACUGGAGGAAGCACCGGCUAACUCCGUGCCAGCAGCCGCGGUAAUACGGAGGGUGCAAGCGUUGUUCGGAAUUAUCGGGCGUAAAGCGCGUGUAGGCGGUCG
rnacentral:rRNA from 1 species